rnacentral:rRNA from 1 species
AUGAGGGAAACAGACUAUGUGCAAAUUUAUUUCCCCUGCCGCAACAGAGGUCAAUUGAUCACUUUCCAUGGGUUUUUACAAAUGGUUAAUUUAUACCUAUAUGGAGUAUGUAAUGUUAGUGUAAGUUCUUCCUUGGUUAGUAACAAAAUUGUCACAGUUAAAUACUGCAGUGAAAGUACUUCUACAGGACCUUUUUUUUGUUGUGAAUUUUCAGUAAAGGUGAAACCUGUUCCGAAAAACUCACUCAGCGCUAAUAUGUUGAAUUGCACUGAUGCAUUGUUUGAUUUUACAGUUAGUACUGAUGUUAGAGUACGUAAUGGGCCUGGGCCCGUUAGUCUUAGGGUUAAUUAG